AGGCAGUCGAGAACCGCGUUCAGAAGCGUGUCAGGCCGGCGCCUGUGUCGCGAAAAACGGCGACACAUGCUCCGGACGAUUCCGAAGGGCGGUGUAAUUAGUACCCAGGAUUCGCUCCGAAUGCCGGGUAUCUCUGUUGAUUCGAGGCGCAAAGGUAUGCCUGCGUACCAAAGCACUGUGAACCGAGACUUUUGGUGGCGAGUCGUGAAACCCGCGUUGGGUGCCUUACGUUUCUAGCCGGCGCUUUCCCUUGCAUAGCAAAGCCGAAUCUGUCUCGAUGCUCGGCGGAAUGCCAGAAAUACCCGCUAUCUCCCAGCGGAUCUACGGGCAGUGGCCGGCGGAAAGUCAGAGGUAGCGCGCGUUGUUUUGGCUGCGUUCCCUGGUCUACGUCGACGUUCUGCGGGCCAGAAAAAAAGCUUGCGGUGCCGGCACAUGACGCCCACAUACAACGACAACCCCUCAACCAGAGUCUGGUCAAUUUCUGGGUUCAUUGGCCUUAGACCCGUAUCAGAUUAAAAAAUUGGACACUGAAAUACGCGCUCGGUCCGUGACAUGAGCUUUGUUCCCGAACUUUACUGAUUUGCAUGGCGUCGACAUUCGAACUGCACCAAUAAAGCAUUAUGGAUUCAUAGGUGUAAGAUUCUCGGGCGUGAUUUUGGAGUGCAUCCCUCGACGCGUUGCCACUGGCUCUCGCUAUGUCACCGAAAGCAGGAUGAUUUGCGACGCCCUCGAAUACGGCUUCGUUCAAUAACCAAUAUCAUUGUCCAAUGCAUGCGUUCAAGACUCCGCGUGUCUCGAUUUCAUGUGUAUAGCGUGCCCAAAUCGCGCGUCCUUCAUGACGUGGAACUUUCUGUUUCAAGGCAACGCGUGAGCGCAGUACUUUGCGCGACUGCAUUGACGGGAGCAACCAUUCGAUAUCGUCCGUAGAGAGCUCGUCGAGAGGUGCGCGCUGAACGUGUAUUGAACUCUUCAUGCCAAAUCAUCAAUGCCCUUUGAACGACAAUUCUGUCUCUAUGUCGAUUGACGAAAGCAAUAUUCGAGUGCAGCGUGACACCUCUUCUGGGAUACGCAUCCAGACUCCACCGUCGGUUCUGUCUUCAUGGGAAUCUUCUUGGACGCGGUCUCCAGUGAUCGCGGGGAUCGAUACCAGUGGGGUGCGCGAUACCGCUUUGCACAAAGGGAGCGUGGGCCGGUCGACACCUGUCGAUUUGCGAUCCAACCUGAAUUUUGCUUCCGGUACCUGUUUCUUCAUGGAUGACAUUGCGUUCCGCAUAUCCUCUAUCGAAUGGAGCAGUGUGCGAGCGCGUGUGCUUCAUAAAGCGUGCUGGCUGAGGUGAUCGCCCAGAAAAGGCCCGUGAUUCCAGUAUACGACGCCGGGCGCCGAGUCUGAUGACAGCAUCGAGGGCAUCCCUCUGUGCUCGUCGAGGUCGUGGACCGAGCGCUGAAUCAAAUGGUCACGCGCCAGAGGACGGCAUUUGGAGGUCAACGAGGCAUCGGGGUCGACGUAUGGGAGACCCCGAAACUGCUCAGGUGUCAUUGGUACGACGGCUGCACCGGGGCUGUUUACAAACAAGAUCAACAUGACAAGUAAAAUGCACAUCGCAAC